rnacentral:rRNA from 1 species
UACGUAGGGUGCAAGCGUUAAUCGGAAUUACUGGGCGUAAAGCGUGCGCAGGCGGUGAUGUAAGACAGAUGUGAAAUCCCCGGGCUCAACCUGGGACCUGCAUUUGUGACUGCAUCGCUAGAGUACGGUAGAGGGGGAUGGAAUUCCGCGUGUAGCAGUGAAAUGCGUAGAUAUGCGGAGGAACACCGAUGGCGAAGGCAGCCUCCUGGGAUAACACUGACGCUCAUGCACGAAAGCGUGGGGAGCAAACAGG